GCCAGGGAUCAGAUAGGUGUGCGGAGACGGAAGUGGACGGCUGAGCCGUUUGUCCCUCUCCCCCACCUCUGUCUCCGUUCUGAGUAGGUCCUUGCGGCGGCGCUCGUUCUGCAAUGGCGGAGCACGGGGAAAUAGAAGACGGUGGGGUUGAGUUCCUGCUUGAUGCCAUUGACAGGUUCCCAUUACGAGAGGAGUUCGCGGACAACCUCGAGCACCCAGAUCCGGUUCCCCCGGUCUUGUUGCCAAACAGCGGAGCCGGCCUUGCCGUUCCUGCGGACCUCAAAUACUCGAUCUGGUUGCGCUCAACAGCUCGGCGGCGAUGGGAAUGAUAUGGCAGGAGUUUGAGUCCGCCGUCUCGCGGAUGCAUCACCGACGAGGUCGGCUCAGUCUACUGACAGAGUCAAUCCAGAGUCACAUGGGAGGAAAAAAAAGGUUAUGGCUGGGCAGUGAGCCAGCAGAUGACGAUGGACUCUAAAGUCAUGGGCUAUGGACUUGAUUGGCUAAAGAAGUUCAUGUUCCCGGUGCAUUUCAUGGAUUGCUGGUCAUUAUAUAUCCUGGAUACCGAUAAGAAGAUUGUGAUGGUGCUUGACCCAACGGAGACAAAUUUGUCGGAUGAGAUGAAAAUCAAACAUGGGCCUCUAGCAAGGAAGUUUCAGCAGAAGUUAUGCACCUAUUCAGUGACAUGUUCAGAGUCGGUUUGGUUGGGACCACUGGAUGGUCGUUUGUGUACCCUUUGGUGGCGCGGCACAAGCCAUGCAGUAGGCGUGUCUGAGUACCCUAGCUAGAACAUACCUAGGCAUUUCAGGUUGAUAAAAGAAAAUUGCCUGCAAAAUUCCUAAGUUCAAUGUUGUUUCCUCACAGGGAAGACAAUGGCGUAUAUGUCGCUCACUACGUCCUAGAGUUCACCGGUCUAUACCUUAGAUCAACUAUAACCCAGGGUCAGAUCGAGCACCUGCGCAGGAGGAUUGCAUAUGAGAUAGUGAUCAUGAAGGGAAACUAGGGAGAUAUCCCGAAGUUCCUGUACGAGGAGAUCAUUGACUGACGAGAAAGACAUUAGCAAUUCCUGUUUGCAUGCAGCCCAGCAAUAUCUUUUGGCUAUGCGUGUACUUGGCCGCGUCUAAGUUCUAGUGUCAUUUUGCAUCAGAAACCCUACUAGCAUUGUGCAUCUGGAAAGCUAUGGGCAUGGGAUGUAUUCCUAAUGGAGAUCUAAUUAGAGUAAUUUGAACUACGUAGUACGUGUUAGAGAUUAUGUGAAUAGAUGACUGAUCUUUCUGAAUUUAAAUACAGUAUGCUGCAACCUGCUGAACAUACCUGAAGUGGCUGAUUGUGAUCAGAUGACACGGAAAAGAGAAUAAUGGUUG
rnacentral:rRNA from 1 species